AUUGCUUUCUUCUGCUUCCUCCUACACAGACACUGAUACAAUGCUCUCAUAUUUAACAUGCUAGCCUGCGGAGACAGUAGAACUGCGAUGCUUCACGGAUAGGCCCUCAACCACAGUGAAAGGCUGCCAGACACAGAGAAGUAAGGAAAAGAGAUGAGCUCUAUGAGGAAAUGCAAAAAGCAAUUAUAAUUUCAAUUGUGGAAAAAGAAAACUCAGAAGUCAACUUAAGAACUUGCCAGUCAGACUGCUUUUUGAGGGAGCUGUCCGAUGAGCUGGUGUUGCUAUUUGAGGUGAACCACCCAGCUAGCUGGGUGGCUUGACUACCUAGAGGGAAAACUUGACCAUUCAUACAGCAGAGAAAGACGUGACUAAAGAACACUGUCCCCACUAUACACUUCCACCCUGCAUGACAUCAGUGAAUCUUUGACUUCCUUUAGGUUAGCAAAGCAUGGAAACGAAUUUCAGGCCAAAUGACGAUACAUUCAUGAUCGCUGGACAAUUUUAUUAUCUGGAUCCUGGGGCAGUGCAUGCAGUGUUUGUCCUGGAGCAACCUCCUUAAGGGGCCACCUCUGCUUGAGCAACACGCUGGAAGCUUCAUAGAUAGCCUUCUUCCAUGAGAUGCUGCAGCAAGAAGAUCCUCACCAGAUGCUGCCACCAUGCUCUUGGACUUCCCAGCAUCUAGAACUAUGAACCAAAAAAAGCUUUUGUUGUUUAUAAAUUACCCAGUCUGUGGUAUUAUAUUAUGGCAACACAAAAUAGAGACAUGCAUAUACUCUCAAAUCUCUGGCCUCUCUCUAAACUGGCAAAAUCUCAAAUUUGGUUAAAUUAAACUCUUUAUUUUGUGUUCCUUCAGUCAGCACAUAGCUAGAGAAAAAUACAUAGGCAUACUGAAUGGUCUUGCUUUAACGUCAGUUGGGCUCAUAUGUAGUCCUAGUCCAUUUGUUUUUCUACUCUCCUAAAUUACUCUUCCUUACCUUCUACUCUCCUGUAACUCCUAUCUUCCCUCUGCUCUUCGUAGACAGAUGAUAAUCUUGCUUCUUAUUUCACUGUGACAACUGAAGCAAUCAGAAUAUAAUUUCAGGAAGUGUCCCCUAUACUAUCUACUCACCUACCUGCAUCUAUGCCCAUAAACUGUCCCUUUCCCAUUGUUGCUAAGGAUUAACUUUCCCAAGCUUUUUUGACACAGGCCAAUUUCUUCUUUUGUUCCCUUUGGACCCAGUCCUUCUCACCUAUCCAAGGGCACAGGUCCAGCAAUUUUCCUCUCCUGCUUCUGCAUCAACAGUUAUUCCUUAUGUGCUCAGUAAUUCCCAACAAUACCCAAACACACUUCCCAUCUUACAAAAAAAAAAAAAAGGAAAACAACAACAAAAAAACCUUCUUGACACCUACAAGCCCUUCCAAUUAACCAUGCAAGUUUCUGCUUUGCCUUAUAGCAAAACUCUUGAAACUACCGCCUAUAGUCAUCUCCAGUUUGCUCCAAAGUUUUGUUUCUCUUAUUGGAGCUAUAUUUUACAUAAGGAAGACUGAAUAUAUUGUAUAAGCACAGUUUAAGAAAUAAAUAGGAAGUAAACCCUACUCAACAUCUCCAUUUGGGAGUUUAACAUGCAUCUUGGACCUAUCAUGCCCAAAGCAGAACUGUUUAGUUUUGGCCCCUAUAUCUGUUCUUCCUACAGUUUUCCUCUUAUCUCAGGAAUAGAAAUUCCAACCUUCAAGUUGUUCAGGUUAAACAUCUUGGAGUCAUCAUUGAUUCCUAUGUCUCUCUCAUCUCUUUUUUUUUUUUUUUUUUUUUUGAGAUGGAGUCUCACUCUGUUGCCCAGGCUGGAGUGUAGUGGCACGAUCACUCACUGCAAGCUCUGCCUCCCAGGUUCCACGUCAUUCUCCUGCCUCAGCCUCCUGAGUAGCUGGGACUACAGGCGCCCACCACCACACCUGGCUAAUUUUUUUUUUUUGGAUUUUCAGUAAAGAUGGGGUUUCACCGUGUUAGCCAGGAUGGUCUUGAUCUUCUGAGCUCGUGAUCUGCCCGCCUCAGCCUCCCAAAGGGAUUACAGGCGUGAGCCACUGUGCCCAGCCUCUCUCAUCUUUAACACCCAAUCCAUUAACAAAACAUAUUGGCUCUAAAAUCAAAAUAUAUCCAAAACCUAACCACUGCUCACCACCCCAACCUCUACCAUCCUGCUCCAAACCUCUGCAUAGCAACAAAGUUGUUUUUGAAAAAUGCAAAUAGAUCAUAUUACUCCUCUCAAAAAACACCCAGUGACUUCCCAUCUCAGUUUAAAAUCCUGAGUCCCUACAAUGGUCUUCAAGCCCCUCAUUACAUCCCAAAUCUCAGCACGUGCCACCCUUGCCCUUCUGCCUCUUCCCUUCAUUCCACCACUGGCCUUGUGGCCCUCAUAUGCACCAAGCAAACUCCUGUCUCAGAGCUAUUGCAUUUGCUUUUCCUUCUGCCUGGACACUCUUCCCUCAACUGCCCACAAGGUUCAGUCUCUUCUUUCCAGCAGAUCUCUGUUCAAAUGACUUGUUCAAAUGCCCUUUCCUGGUCAGUCUGAAAAUAGCACUGCCUCACUCUCUAUCCCCUUAUCUUGCUUUAUUCUUUUUUUUAUCACAUUCAUCACCACCUGGUUAUGAAAUUACAGAGAUGAUAGCUGAUGAUAGAUAGAUAGAUGAUAGAUAGAUAGACAGAUAGAUAGAUAGAUGAUAGCUGAUAGAUAGAUAGAUAAAUAGAUAGAUAGAUAGAUAGAUAGAUAGAUAGAUAGAUAGAUAGAUAGAUAGAUUUUAUUUGCCUAUUUGCUUUUAUUCUCCCCCUAAUAUAGGCUCUUUGUCUCUUACUGCUUUAUCCCCAGCAACUAGAACCGUGCAUGGAAUAUAUGUGCUCAGUAAAUAUUUAUUUGAUGAACGAUGUGCUAGAAACUCUCCUUCUGACUAUGCUCUUAAUCACUAACCUAUACUGUCUGCCAGAAUUUUUUUUUAUUUCUCCAAAUAUGUAUAGCACACCUAACCAAACCUAUCUCAUAACCUAAACUAUGUUAAAUACUUAGCACAACAUCUAACACGUAGUAGGGUUUUAAAUAUGUUAAUUUUCUUCCCUUCUUCCUUCCUUUCCCUUUUUAUUUUAUUUUGUUUGUUUGAAACAGGGUGUUGCUCUGUCACCCAGGCUGGAGUGCAGUGGUCAGUCACUACUCACUGCAUCCUUGAACGCCUGGGCUCAAGCCAUCCUCCCCAUCUCAGCCUCCUGAGUAGCUAGGACUACAAGUGCUUGUCACCACACACAGCUAAUUUUACUUUUGGUACAGAUGGGGUCUGGUCAUUUUGCGCUGGCUGGUCUCAAACUCCAGGCCUCAAGCAAUCCUCCUGCCUCGGCCUUCCAAAAUGCUGGGAUAACAGGUGUAAGCCACCAUGUCCAGCCCUUCCUCCCUCCUUUUCUAAUGGUGAGACAGAAUGUACAUCCCAAUUUUCCUGGAACAGCCCUAGUUUAUGCCUGUUGUCCUAGCGUAAUUAUUAGUAGUGCUCCUUUUUCUAUCAAGCAUCCUGUUUAGUGACAAAUGAUAUGGUUAUCCUAAUAUUGGUGCAAUUGCAACCUGAGGUGUCCACUUAAGCUCAUUUAGAGUUAAUGGCCAUGUACGGGGAAGUAAUGGGUAUUUUCACCAGACAUCGUUCUUAGAUAGAGUAACAUAUAAUAUGCGUUCUCCCUGCCUGCUUCACAGAGCAUUUGUGAAUAA
rnacentral:lncRNA from 1 species